GGUUGCCGCCCUUGAACUUCCGGGCCAGUCACCCUUACUACGCAUUUUCAGACGAAUCUUCCUCUCCAAGAAGCCCGUUGAAUUCUGGGGAUUGUAGUCAUUUUCCAUUGAGAGAGUGUCCUUGAUGACUCAACCUCUGGAACCAGAACUUUUAAAAUACUCAGUCACAGUGGAAAAGACGAUCAUUUUCGCCGAGACGAUCUUUCUCAGCCAGUCAAUCCCCAGCCUAUGGUGACUUCUUCGGUAGCUAGGUAGAUACUCUCGGGGUCAGCCCUCUGGAGGUGGACCACGCGCCCCCUAGACCUGGAGUUGCCCUCUUCCCCGUGGCCUGACUUUGGCCUAGCUCAGCCCACCUUUCCUGUGCGGACGAAGGCCUCAGCCACCUUGCGGUUCCGCCCUCCAUAGCAGGUGGUAAUGAGGUCAGCAACACCACAGCUCUCCAAGAAGGUGGUAGAAGACACAGGGCCCCUGCAGAAGAGCUUGGCGAAGGCGAUCAUCUCCAUGAGCCCCAGUCGGAUCACUGCCGCCUUGGUGUUGUCGCCAAAGCCCAGCCCAUCACAGAAGCCAGCCCCCACGGCCACGACAUUCUUUGCAGAGUGGAGGUCACAGGUACAGAGUGCUGCCCAGAAAUGACACUACUGCCCAGAUCUCCAACUGCUCUGGCUCUCAACAUUCAUUCAGCAGAUCAGAAACCGAGGCUCAAAGUUUUUAAAAGAUACAGCCAAAAUCAGAACUCAUGUGUAUCUGGCUUCGGUCAGCACCAAGCACAGUGCCUGGCACAUACGGGGUGUCACUGUAUUUUGAAUACCAAGAAUCAAAAGGCAACCUAGAAGCCAUGAUAGAGAGCUGGUGGCACCUAAAUGACCUAAGGCAGAGGU